AUGAAGUGUUUUCUUUGCAAAAGUGACCAUGGAAGUCCAAACAACCUUGUUAAGCACUUUAAGGUAAUUCAUGGGCUAUGUACAGGCAGGACUCUUUUUCUGAAGUGUGGUCAAGAAGGAUGCUCACGUUCUUUUGGUAGUUUUUCUGGUUUAAGAAAGCAUCUUAAUAAGUGCCAUGGAAGCAGUUUAGUUGAUUCUGUAGAAUAUGAUCUUUCAUAUCCUCAAAGUACCGUCAAUACAAGUAAUGUUUCUCAUGUUGAAGAGUUGACUGAACAUUUAGAGGCUGAGUCACAGUUGUCUUCGCCAUACAUUGUAAAUAGUUGUUCAGCUGUAAUUUCUGAUCUAAAGGCAGCAGGUGUUGGUCAAAGUACACUGAAUUCUGUAGUGAUUUCCAUGGAAGAGAUUGUUCAAGAUAUCCAUCAGCAUGCUAAAGAGACAGUGAUAAAGCAUGUAUUUAGUAAUGAAAGAGAAACGGAAAUCUGCAAGAAAGUUGAGGCGUGUUUUGAGGGGUUAGAGAAUCCUUUCACAAUUCUAAAUUCGGAAUACAAGCGAUCAAAAUUUAUGACUGACAAGUGGGAAAUAGUAGAACCAGUUGAAUGUGUGAUUGGUUCAAGAUUUGACACAAGACGAAAUAAAAAGACUGGAACAUAUGAUCAGGUAGUAGUUCAAGAUAAAUACAUGUAUAUUCCAAUUUUAUCUACACUGCAGUCAAUAUUUAAAAGUCAGUAUGUUGCAGAAAUGUUGCAAAGCUCAGCUACCAGCGACUCUAGACUGAGAGAUAUUUGUGAUGGAUCUUUUUUUAAAAGUCACCCCCUGUUCUCAACUGAGAAGCAGACAAUACAGAUCCAGAUGUUCUAUGAUGACUUUGAGGUCGCCAACCCUCUGGGUCCUAAGCGAGGUAUUCAUAAAUUGGGUGGAGUAUAUCUUACUUUAAGAAACUUCUCUCCAAAAUGGAAUUCUUUCUUGGCUAACAUACACCUGUGCGCCUUAUUUCACACUCAAGAUGUUAAACGGUAUGGUUUUAGUGAAAUUUUUGCUCCCAUUGUUCGAGACAUUAAAGUGUUGGAGAGUGAUGGUAUUGAGAUCCCAUUAUACAAUGGUUAUGUUCGUGGCACUGUAGUACAGGUUACUGGUGAUAAUUUGGGUUUGCAUAGUUUGUUUGGUCUGGUGGAGUCUUUCAGUGCAAGGUACUGUUGCAGGUUCUGUUUAGCAGAAAAGGAGGACUUUCAGACAGAAUUCUCUGAAGAUUCUUCCAAAGUAGUUUUGCGCACCAAAGAUAUACACACUGCUCACUGUCAAGAAAUGGCUUGUAAUCCAUCCCUUCCAUACGAUUUUGGUGUUAAAAGAUCAUGCAUAUUAAAUUCAUUGGAGUAUUUUCACACAACAGAGAACUUCUCAGUUGAUGUGAUGCAUGAUGUGUUAGAAGGGGUGGGCCAGUAUGAAUUGAAGUUAUUAUUUCUGUAUUUGAAGGAAAAACAUGUUACAUCAGCAGAAAUAAAUUCAAGGAUACAAAGUUUUGAUUAUGGUUUCAUGGAGAGAAACAACAGGCCUGUAGCUGUUAAUUUAGGUGAAGGAUCUAAUGAUCUGGGACUGAAUGCAGUUCAGUCCUGGUGCUUACUUCGGAAUGUUCCUCUUAUCUUUGGAGAUUUAGUAACUUCUACUGACCAACACUGGGGCCUGCUUCUUUUACUACUUCAAAUAAUAAACAUUAUAUUCUCGCCCAUGUUAUCUCAAGGUUUAUGUGUAUAUUUAAAACAUUUAAUUGUGGAUCACCACACACUGUUUAAGAAGUUGUAUCCUCAGAAAAACCUUUUACCAAAGCACCAUUUUCUUAUCCACUAUCCCCGCUGCAUCCAGAAAAUUGGGCCUGUCCUUCAUAGUUGGUGUAUGAGGUAUGAAGGCAAGCAUAAUUUUUUCAAAAAACAGCUUAAAGGAACACUCCACCGUUUUUUGAAAUAG
ensembl:lncRNA